UACGGAGGGAGCUAGCGUUGUUCGGAAUUACUGGGCGUAAAGCGCGCGUAGGCGGCUUUGUAAGUUAGAGGUGAAAGCCCGGAGCUCAACUCCGGAACUGCCUUUAAGACUGCAUCGCUUGAAUCCAGGAGAGGUGAGUGGAAUUCCGAGUGUAGAGGUGAAAUUCGUAGAUAUUCGCAAGAACACCCGUGGCGAAGGCGGUUCUCUGGGACGGUACUGACGCUGAGACGCGAAAGCGUGGGGAGCGAACAGG
rnacentral:rRNA from 1 species